rnacentral:rRNA from 1 species
UGAGGAAUAUUGGUCAAUGGGUGCAAGCCUGAACCAGCCAUCCCGCGUGAAGGACGACUGCCCUAUGGGUUGUAAACUUCUUUUGUAUAGGGAUAAACCUACCCUCGUGAGGGUAGCUGAAGGUACUAUACGAAUAAGCACCGGCUAACUCCGUGCCAGCAGCCGCGGUAAUACGGAGGGUGCAAGCGUUAUCCGGAUUUAUUGGGUUUAAAGGGUCCGUAGGCGGACUUAUAAGUCAGUGGUGAAAGCCUGUCGCUUAACGAUAGAACUGCCAUUGAUACUGUAAGUCUUGAGUAUAUUUGAGGUAGCUGGAAUAAGUAGUGUAGCGGUGAAAAGCGUAGAUAUUACUUAGAACACCAAUUGCGAAGGCAGGUUACCAAGAUAUAACUGACGCUGAGGGACGAAAGCGUGGGGAGCGAACA